GACGAACGCUGGCGGCGCGCUUAACACAUGCAAGUCGUACGGAAAGGCCUGCUUUCCCUUGUGGAUUGCGGGUACUCGAGUGGCGAACGGGUGAGUAACACGUGAGUGAUCUGCCCCCAACUUGGGUAUAAGCCUGGGAAACUGGGUCUAAUUCCCGAUAGGACUGCAGGGUGGUGCCUGUGGUGGAAAACGAUUUUCUAGUGGUUGCGUGUGAGCUCGCGGCCUAUCAGCUUGUUGGUGGGGUAAUGGCCUACCAAGGCGGCGACGGGUAGCCGGCCUGAGAGGGUGGACGGCCACAUUGGGACUGAGAUACGGCCCAGACUCCUACGGGAGGCAGCAGUGGGGAAUAUUGCACAAUGGGCGGAAGCCUGAUGCAGCGACGCAGCGUGGGGGAUGACGGCCUUCGGGUUGUAAACUCCUUUCGACCGCGAGGAAGCCACCUGGUUGGAAGGGUGGUGACGGUAGUGGUAGAAGAAGCACCGGCUAACUACGUG
rnacentral:rRNA from 1 species